ACAGAGGGGGCAAGCGUUGUUCGGAAUUACUGGGCGUAAAGGGCGUGUAGGCGGUUAGGUAAGUGGGAUGUGAAAUGCCUCGGCUCACCCGAGGAUCGGCAUCCCAAACUGCCCGACUUGAGUAUGGGAGAGGAUGAGGGAAUUCCUGGUGUAGCGGUGAAAUGCGUAGAUAUCAGGAGGAACACCGGUGGUGCAGACGGCUCUCUGGACCGUAACUGACGCUGAGACACGAAAGCGUGGGUAGCAAACAGGA
rnacentral:rRNA from 1 species